CCCUUAGAUGUUCUGGGCCGCACGCGUGCUACACUGAGUGGAUCAGCGGGUCAGGUUGCGCGAAAGCGUUUCCUAAUCUUUAAAUCCGCUCGUGAUGGGGAUUGACGGUUGCAAUUUUCUGUCAUGGGCGAGGAAUACCUUGUAAGCGCGGGUCAUCAUCCCGCGCUGAAUACGUCCCUGCCCUUUGUACACACCGCCCGUCGCUCCUACCGAUUGAGUGGUCCGGUGAGGCUUUGGGAUCUGAGCGGAAAGAGCGUUUCGCUGUUUCUGCUCGGAAAACUCAGUCGAACCUUAUCAUUUAGAGGAAGGAGAAGUCGUAACA
rnacentral:rRNA from 1 species